ACCUCAUUGGUUAGGUUCAUAACAUGUAAUGUUCCCACACACGAGGCGGAGGCGGUGUAUAAUCCAUGGUUUAUUCAACCAACUAACUGUGAUCAAUUCAGAACGCUAGGAGUAGUAACCAAUGGUAACUUACAACGGUAACGCCACACAAAAGAACUUAACGAAUCUCAAGAGACCCAAACAUAAAACACAAACAAAGUAUCCUAGCAACGGGUCCAAUUAACACGUGAUGAUAGGGCUAUGAUGUUUGUCCAUGUAUCUACAGUCAAUUAAGAAACGGGAAAGUAAAGUAAUAAGUAGUGAAGUUACUUUUCAAAUGCAGUAACUAAUAAAGUAAUCUCAUUACAAUUUAUAGAAGUAACUAGUAAUAAGUAACUAAUUACUUUUUUGAGUAACUACCCCAACACUGAUAAUAAUAUAAACAAAUAAAAAAAAUCGGAAAUCCCAGUGAAUAGUGAAUGAGCUACUCUAUGAUCGAUUGUGGCGGAUGUAAAUUGAUACACCUUGACAUCGUACGGCUAGUUGUUUACAAAGACUGCUGCGCAGUGCGCACCCCUGUGUGGGGAACAACAUCAAGGAUCCAUCAACAACAUCAGCCUGCAAACCGUAGCCUCUACACAAAGGUAAGAAUGUGGAUCAAUAAUUUGUACUUUGUUCAAGUAUUUCUUUACUGUCUCCCAGCGACAGCUAAAGCAUAGGCUGUCUGAGAGAGAACUUUUGCGGGCUGGCUGUUAGGUUUUUAGCGAGUUAACUAAAGUUUGUUGUCUCAGCUGUAUCAGCUCUCGACCAUCCUGUUGCACUAUUUUAGUGGAAAACUGGACAAACCGUAUGGUUUUACCACUACCAAAGAUCCUUUAUCUAUGGAUGCAUAUAUGUAGCAAAAUUCAAAUGGCAAUGCAAUUUGCAAUUCAAAUGGCAAUGCAUGUAAGUCAUUACAUUAUGCAAUUGACAAUUCAUUAUGCAAUUUAAUAAUAUAAUUUGUAAAUACGUUAUUCAAAGUGUAUUUUAAUAUGCAAAGUGAUAAUGAAAUCCUCAAUAAAAUUUGCAAAAGUUAUAACAAUAAAAAUAUAAUAACAUUUUGUCGCAUUUUUUGAGUUCCAACACACAGAGCGUUAGCCUGGCACCGCCCACCUAUCUACUUCCGCUCAAUUUUCAUUUAAUUUCAGUAGUCAGUCUUGGUCUAAGGUAUAUUCAUGGCUUCCUUCGAAGCCAGAUUUUUGGCGGUCCAAUCAGCGAACAGAGGGAGUGGCUGAGAACGAUGACGUUAAAGUCACCUCUCGUUGACGGACAUCUUCACGCACGGUGUUUGGUUUGUUUACAGCCUGUGCGCAACGUGAUUCCCGGCCAAACGUUAGCGAUUGGUUAUGGCAGAUCCAGAGUGGCACUGGGCAGAUCCAAUAGUUUUAAACUUCAACAGACACCCGCCUUCAAGUGAGUUAACGUUUGUCAGUUGAGUAGGUCCAGCCUCUGAACAUACCCAGGCUUUUUUGGGAAACCUGGCUCGACAGAGACGCAACUCGCAAUCAGAGUUAAAUGGUACCACGACGCUCACUUUAGAUUCAAUUAGUCGAAUCAGGUUUUCCGCUUUAGGUUCAAUGCGCGUUCACAUAAAAGGGGCGUUUAUCGCGUCAUUUGACACACCCUUAUGCAAGAUUAAUCGAGCGAGAGCGGUGUGUUUCACCCAAGGCGAGCAGUGUAUUAUUAUGAAUUCCUACGAGGAAUUCAAAGUCCAAAUCACAGCCAAGGGGAACACGGUUGCGCAUAAUAAGGCUAGGGUGGCGUGCUGGCAAAAAAUAGCCGGCUGUGUUAAUUCGUAAGUGAAAAGAUUCUGCAUAUUAUCUAGAAAAAUAUCAUGUAUCAUCAUGCCUUUUACCCCCAUAGAUGUGGUGCCAGCACGCUCCUAUGAACAUGGGGCCAAGUCAAAAAUAAAUAUAAAAAUAUUAUUCAAUGUGCAAAUAAAAAGAAAACCCAAAUUAAUACGACUGGGAGGGGGACCGCUCCACCGCCCUUCACCACUUCGGAGGAGCUGGCUCUCGCCAAUAACGAAGGUCGGCCGAUGAUGGUAGGAGUGGAAGGGGGGAUGUCCUCUGACCCCACUGCCUCGACAUCCAAGGCGUUUGUAAUGAGUAUUCAUGUAUUGGCAAUGGACAUAAAUAAUUGUCUUGCUAAUCAAAUGUGAAAUGAUUGAGUGUAAAUUAAUUGUGUCAUUUUUAGUUGAAGGUAAACAUUAUUUUGGAGGAGCCGCCCACAAUCAAUCUCCAGAGGUAUAUAACUAUAAAAGCAAAGUGUCACGUAUUCUUCUAAAUGUUGAAUUUUUAGAAAGAAUGUCCUAUAAUAGGUUUCCCUGAUUCUUUCAGGAGACUCUGUCGGCCUGUGACUCCAGGGCGACUAUGGAGAGGGAAAUGACAUUGGAUGGGCCAUCCACCUCCACCUCAACCUCCUCAAGGCCUUCUCGAGGGACAGACAAGGUUUUUAUUUAGGUUAUUCCUUUUGUAAUGGGCGCCACAAGGCUUUGACCAUGGUAACUGAAUUAAUUAAUUAUUUAUUGAACAAAAGUCACAAUGAAGUUAAAUGAGAUUAUCAAAUGGACACAUUAUCAUUCAUACCAAAUGUAGCCUACCUACUACUUAAAGGUCCCAUGACAUGCUAUUUUAUGUAUUCUUUAAUAUAGGUAUUAGUGGGCAACUAACACAGUAUUCAAAGACGUUCCCGAAAUUCAGCCAUGGUGCAGAGUUACAGCCACUCCGAGCCAGUCGCACAUUGAGCUUCCCCCAAAUGCGCUGUUUUGGUGUCUGUAGCGAUAAUGCAAAUGAGGAGGAGCGAGGCGGGUCAAGGAGGAGGGUGGGGGUGUGGCCCUGAGCAGCUUGCAGCCACGGUACCAUGCGCUCUGUUUACAGUGGAUGUAUUGCGAUGGCGAGGUGCACACAGCCAUUAGCCGUGUUCUGUAAAUAUUCUAGAACACACAGAGCUCUAUAUCUAAAUAUUAUCAUAUAGCCUACAUAGAUAUCUAUAUCAUAUAAUAUAUAUUAUCACGGCAAAAGCUGUGUGAGCCGAUAUUAUGAAUCUCAAACGACCGUGUUGGGUUCUCCAACGUUCCUGGUUCUUCAACGUCCACAACAAUGUGAAGUAGACUGAACUGCGACAAGGAGGAGAAAGGGAUUGUUGCCGGGCAGCGUUUAGGCACCUCCGCCUCCGGCGGUGGUCCCUCAGCGGGGCUCAAGCGGGAGACAUUCGCCGCCAACAAUCCCUUUCUCCUCCAUGUCGUGGUUCAUGUUCUUGAGGGAGUCAAAGCCAAAG